rnacentral:rRNA from 1 species
GACGAACGCUGGCGGCGUGCUUAACACAUGCAAGUCGAGCGGUAAGGCCCUUUCGGGGGUACGACGAGCGGCGAACGGGUGAGUAACACGUGGGUGGACCUGCCCUCCAGCUCUGGGAGUAAGCCUGGGAAACCGGGUACUAAUACUGGAUAUGACUCCAUGACGCAUGUUGUGGGGUGGAAAGCCUUGUGCGGCUGAGGAUGGGCCCGCGGCCUAUCAGCUUGUUGGUGGGGU